rnacentral:rRNA from 1 species
GUACACGCUGUGACUAGCAUAUCAAUAAGCGGAGGAAAAGAAACUAACAAGGAUUCCCCUAGUAACGGCGAGUGAAGCGGGAAGAGCUCAAAUUUGAAAUCUUAAAGGGUUUCCCUUUACGAAUUGUAGUUUAAAGAAGUGUUUUCUGUUGAGGUUUUGGUAAAAGUUCUUUGGAAUAGGACAUCAUAGAGGGUGAGAAUCCCGUAUUUGACCUUUACUUUCAACUUUGUGUAUACACUUUCAAAGAGUCGGAUUGUUUGGGAAUGCAGUCCAAAAUGGGUGGUAAAUUUCAUCUAAAGCUAAAUAUUGGCGAGAGACCGAUAGCGAACAAGUACCGUGAGGGAAAGAUGAAAAGAACUUUGAAAAGAGAGUUAAACAGUACGUGAAAUUGUCAAAAGGGAAGCGUUUGACACCAGUGUUGUUUUUCUGAAAAUCAAUUAAAGAACUGUUUAUGCUAAGCUGUUUAGACUUUAUCAGCUAACUGUUUAGUUUUGAGCUUUUCUUUAAUGCACUUUUCAGUUAACAAGUCAACAUCAAUUUCUUUUGCUGUAAAAAAGCUUGAGGAAGGUGGCUUGAGAUUCGUCUUAAGUGUUUAUAGCCUCUUGCCUAUGCAGUCGGAGAGAUUGAGGUCUGCAGCGUAGAUCCUUCGGGGCUAAAUGCAUUUGUGCUAAGUUAUAGCAUUUUAUAGACAACUUGUUGACUAUGAUUUGUCUUGUAGCUUACUCGCUUAUGUUAUUUUACCUACGCUUAGGAUGUUGAGUCGUAGAGCACGCAG